rnacentral:rRNA from 1 species
GCCAUGCAUGUCUCAGUACUAACCGCUUUAAGGCGAAACCGCGAAUGGCUCAUUAAAUCAGUUAUGGUUCCUUGGAUCUUACCCACACUUACAUGGAUAACUGUGGUAAUUCUAGAGCUAAUACAUGAACCUCGUGCCCCGACCAGUGAUGGAAGGGGUGCUUUUAUUAGAACAAAACCAAUCGGUCGGUCUUCCGUCCGUUGCCUUGGUGACUCUGAAUAACUUUUGGCUGAUCGCACGGUCCUAGCACCGGCGACGCAUCUUUCAAAUGUCUGCCUUAUCAACUUUCGAUGGUAGGUUCUGCGCCUACCAUGGUUGUAACGGGUGACGGGGAAUCAGGGUUCGAUCCCGGAGAGGGAGCCUGAGAAACGGCUACCACAUCCAAGGAAGGCAGCAGGCGCGCAAAUUACCCACUCCCGGAACGGGGAGGUAGUGACGAAAAAUAACGAUACGGGACUCAUCCGAGGCCCCGUAAUCGGAAUGAGAACACUUUAAAUCCUUUAACGAGGAUCUAUUGGAGGGCAAGUCUGGUGCCAGCAGCCGCGGUAAUUCCAGCUCCAAUAGCGUAUAUUAAAGUUGUUGCGGUUAAAAAGCUCGUAGUCGGAGGUGUGUCUCGGACGGUCGGUUCGCCGCUUGUCGGUGCUCAACUGGCCGGUCCGGACGUCCUGCCGGUGGGGCCGCGAGGCUCCGUCAUCCUUCUUUGGUCCUCUUCACCGAGUGCCUUGGUGGGCCGGCACGUUUACUUUGAACAAAUUAGAGUGCUCAAAGCAGGCCGUUGGUCGCCUGAAUACUGUGUGCAUGGAAUAAUGGAAUAGGACCUCGGUUCCAUUUUGUUGGUUUUCAGAACUCGAGGUAAUGAUUAAUAGGGACGGACGGGGGCAUUCGUAUUGCGACGUUAGAGGUGAA